rnacentral:rRNA from 1 species
AUUGAACGCUGGCGGCAGGCCUAACACAUGCAAGUCGAACGGUAACAGGAAACGGCUUGCUGUUUCGCUGACGAGUGGCGGACGGGUGUGUCAUGUCUGGGAAACUGCCUGAUGGAGGGGGAAAACUACUGGAAACGGUAGCUAAUACCGCAUACCGUCGCAAGACCAAAGAGGGGGACCCUCGGGCCUCUUGCCAUCGGAUGUGCCCAGAUGGGAUUAGCUUGUUGGUGGGGUAACGGCUCACCAAGGCGACGAUCCCUAGCUGGUCUGAGAGGAUGACCAGCCACACUGGAACUGAGACACGGUCCAGACUCCUACGGGAGGCAGCAGUGGGGAAUAUUGCACAAUGGGCGAAAGCCUGAUGCAGCCAUGCCGCGUGUAUGAAGAAGGCCUUCGGGUUGUAAAGUUCUUUCAGCGGGGAGGAAGGGAGUAAAGUGAAUCUCUUUGCACAUUGACGUUACCCGAAGAAGAAGCACCGGCUAACUCCGUG